rnacentral:lncRNA from 1 species
GUUAAUGUUGUACCGAGCUCGCUUUUUGGAGAUUGGCCUGGGGCUGUGACGCUCUUGGCUAUUUUGCCCCGAGCUCUUCCGGGAGGUCGGAAUUUGAUUUUUCAUCAGUAACUUAGGAUUUGUCUUUUUUGUUUUCCCGGGAGUUCUAGGGGAUCCCGGUCUUCUUUGUUUUCCCGAGAGUUCUAGGGGAUCCCGGUCUUCAUGCUCCGGGAGGUCUUUUAAAAUUCUCGCCGGCCGUUUUUGUUUUGUUUUCCCGGGAGUUCUUAGGGAUCCCGGUUGUAACAGCCCGGAAACCGGUACCCUCUCUGUAACGGCCCAAACUGCUCGGCACUAGGAUCCAGAUCGGCUUAAGGCCGCCUAGACCCGUAGUAAGCCUGCUAUGAACUCUGUGUACCUGUUAACAUCCCAUACAUGAUCCGACUGGACUCUUAACUGUUACAACUUUUCUUUAAAACAACCAGACUUAAUCUGUAAAACACUCUCUGUAGGUCCAAUCAUAUGAACCAAAAUGCUCAGAUAUACUCAUCUGAACUAGCCCUCGGGCUAUCUAUCAUACACCAGUGAUGCUUUACCAAGUAACCUCCAUACCCUAUGCGCUCUGCAGCAUAGAACCCACUCUGUAAGGGUCAGCAUAUCAUAAGUUAACUUGGCUACCAUAGAGUCACAGCAAUCAAACCUGGUCUUCUCUAGUGGUCUACUCAGUGGAUCACAGGAAUCAAACCUGGUCUUUCCUUUGCACUGGUCUUGGGUCAAGGGACUUAAGCCCUAUCUUCCCUCACAGUUAUCAUUCACUGGGUUUUCGAAACACAACAUAUAUUAAAUCUGGUCUGACUCAUUUCUCAUCAAGAAACUGUAAAACUGGAUACAUGCACAUACAAGGGAUUAACAUACACUAGACAAUAGGCAAAAGCACAUGCUAACUCAUUUAUCCAUUAACUGACUACUUAUUACAUCACUUUUACAUACAUCUCUUUAAUUACAUCAUGUCCACACUACACUAUUACACACAAGCAGUACCAUAGCUGAUACACUCUGCUGCUUCUCACCUUCCCAGCUAACCAGAACCUGCAACACUGGGAUUAAGGGAAAGGGAUGAGCUAUAAAGCCCAGUGAGUAGAAACACUGAAAAUAGUUCGUUCAUACACAUCUUUUAUGACAAUGCAACACAACUCAUACAUUCCACAUCAUUGAUUGGACAUGACAGCAAAACUCCCUCGACGGGCUAUUGAUGUCGCCUGGGUCCAAUCAUCUGGAAUUAGACAUGACCUCAAAACUCCCUCGACGGGCUAUUGAUGUCGCCUUGGUCCAAUUCCCACUAUCACUGAAUAAGGCAAUGCAACAACUUCGUGUUUCUAAUGCAACUCACCCUAAUAUAAAUCAUAACAGUCAUGAUGCAUGAACUAUGCUUCAUACAUUCCAUUUUCUCAAAAUAAAGAUUAAGUUUAGUUCUACUCACCUCUGCUCCUCAAGCAGAAACCUGACUGACGCUGUACCCACGACUACUGGUGACCUCCUCGAUCUCUCGGGUCCAAUCCUACACAAAUGGACUCGAAUGAGGCAUCAAACAUACUCUUAUUAACUCACAAUCAACUUCCCAAAAUCCCUCUAAAAGCUCAUAGAACAAUCACAUAAAGCAUGCAAAAGAACAGCUAGACAGAACACAUUCGGCGGCAGCUUCGGCGGCCGAAUGUCCUGUCCAGAGCCGAAACUCACAUACUUUCGGCAGCCGAAGCUCUCCUUUCGGCGGCCGAACCCUUUCGGGGGCAAGGUUCGGGGGUCACAACACACUCCAGAGACGAAAGUCUCUAACCUUCGGCGGCACCUUCGGCGGCCGAAACCCCUAAACAGAGCCGAACCUUAACACACUCGGGGGCAAGCUGUGGCAGCCUAAGCCACCAUGCAAGAGGUUCGGCGGCCGAAUGCACCUUCGGCUGCCGAACCUGAGUUCUUCUCAAGAACUCAGCUUCUCCCGCAACCUAGCUCCUCCAUCCUUUUCACCUCUCUAAACAUGCAUAACUCCACUCCUCCACUCGCAUAUACUCAAGUAUAUGCUCCAAGGGGUCCAAAACUACCUAUCAACCCCAACAAACAGCAAACAUAACACAUAGACAAGCUUGCAUGCAUAACUCAUCAAUAACUCCACUUACACCCUAUACAUGCCACUCUACCCUUAACGUCUUUAAACACUGGUAUAAAUCAUUAAAAUACGGUAAAAAGCUGUCCUUACCUCCUGAAAACAUAAGCUGAGCAACCUGAACCUAAGGACAUGUGCUACCUUCCCUUCACCUUCUCCACACUACCAAACCUCUCUUUUUCACUCAAACCCUUCACCAUCAACCCAUUAAAACGUUACAAGAUGAUAAAACCAAAGCAAGUGACUCAGGGAGGACGUGGCCUCACCUCAGGAAAUGAAAGGAACGGAAAUCCAUCCAAGUCACCGACUGGAGGCGCUGAAAUAGAGGGCUGGCCGACUCACCUUCGGCUGCCAAACCUGCAUGCAAAACCAUGCAACGUUCGGGGGCCGAACAUGACCUUCGGAAGCCGAAUCUAUAACACUUUCGGCGGCCGAACAUUACCUUCGGGGGCCGAACCUGGCAGAAACUCCUUAGGCCAAUUCUCCUCACAACUUAACUCUAUUCUGAAUCAAACCUUUGAAACACUUAAAAACCUUUUAGAAAACUUUCACUCUUACCCUUCUAGAACCUCUGACAUUCCAGAAUUCCACCGGAUGGUAAGAAUUCUGAUGCCUGAACUAGCCGGGUAUUACACCGGUCUUCUUUGUUUUCCUGGGAGUUCUAGGGGAUCCCGGUCUUCAUGCUCCUGGAGGUCUUUUAAGAUCCUCACCGGCCAUUUUUGUUUUGUUUUCCCGGGAGUUCUUAGGGAUCCCGGUCUUCUUUGUUUUCCCGGGAGUUCUAGGGGAUCCCGGUCUUCAUGCUCCGGGAGGUCUUUUAAGAUCCUCACCGGCCGUUUUUGUUUUGUUUUCCCGGGAGUUCUUAGGGAUCCCGGUCUUAUUUAUUUUCCCGGGAGUUCUAAGGGAUCCCGGUCUUCAUGCUCCGGGAGGUCUUUUAAGAUCCUCACCG